UCUGGAUGAUGAAUUUAAUUCUUUGGUCCGUGUUUAUGACGGGAAGUAAGACCCCCGGUAUGAGUGACAAAGAGAAGUGAAUGACUUUCACAACUCUGACCAG
rnacentral:snoRNA from 1 species